UGACACCAUCCCGAGGAGCUCUGUUUGCCUCAGAGCGCUGGGGCACGGCCAGGGAGGUGCUGCAGGGUCACUGGCACACGCUGCAUCCCUCGAUCCCCUCCCAGGGCUGGCUCUCCAGACACAUCCAGCCUUCUCCCGCAGCAGGACAAGGCCAGGCUGCUCGGCCGCUCUCCCCGCGGCCCUGGAGUGGCUGCCUGAGGGCUCGGAUUGAGCUGCACGCUGCUAAAUAAGGCCAGAGCUGCUCUUUUCUCCCCGGUGUUGCCAUUCAAACCACAACAACAGCGGCGGCUCCCAUGGAAUAUUUAUGAGCUGCUUGCAGAAAUGUUAAGAAGAGCCAGCGGUUGUAUGAACACCCUCUGGAGCAGCGGCCUGGGGAGCUUCUGCCUGAUCUUUACUCCGAGCCUGCGUUGGUGUUUACAAGGGAGUUCCAAAUCCCUGUGGCACCCCCAUGUCCUGAGCCCAAGGCAGGAGCCGGUCACCAUCGCUCCAUCGUGGGCACCUUCCCCCUGUCCCCAUCCCCAGCGGCUCCGGGGGCUCUGCUGCCCAGGGAGGGCCCCAGGAGCUGCAGGGGGAGGCUGGGCAGCAGCAGCAGCUCCUCACCCCCGCCAGGCAGGCGCUCCCACCAAUUCCAGGUUCGCUCCAAGACUCCAGGACUAAAUGUUCCCGUUUGCUUUGGGCAGUAAAAGCUGGAAUUCUAACGAGGUUUCCGAGGCAGGCUGUUCCAUCCUGUAUUUCACUAAAUGCCUUUUCUUUGCUCUUUUCCUGCCUUGCUGCCAGGCUGACCUUGCUGGGAUGUGGGGAUGAAGGAGAAGCAACUUGAAGUCUGGGAAUGAAUUCCCACACACACCUGACCUCUGUGAAUUAGGGGUGGGAGUGGAAAAAACCCAGGAUGUUUAACUUUUCUCUGUAUGUUUUAAUUUGUGUGUCACUUUUAGGAAUUUUCCAACAUUUCCAGCUUACCAGAGGAGUUCAAUGCCAGCUUUCUCCAGGCUCCACGUGGGGAUGUGUGCCAGGUUGGACCCCAGUGGACACCAGCGUGGGAUCCCUGAGGAGCAGCAGGAACUGGGAAUGCUCCAGCCUGGUGGUGUGGAUGCAAAUGACUAAAAAUGUCCCUCAGUGCAUCAUAGAAUCAUGGAAGGGCUUUGGGUCCAAGGGACUUGAACAAGGCUUUGGGAUGAUUUAUUUUGUCUCAGGUCCGUUGCAUUUAAAUCAUUUCAAUUUUACACCUGAGUAGGAACAGCCCUGGCUGAAGCUGUGUCCCAGGGGCUCCUAUAGUUCUGUAUUUAAAACCUGUUCCUGCUCUGUGGCAGCUUACAAAUGUCCUGUGAGGGCAUUUCUGUGACAUCAGGCACAGCUUGUCCAGCUUUGAGGCCAG
rnacentral:lncRNA from 1 species